GCCUUUAGGAUUUAAUUAUAGGUCGAACCUGCCCAAUGAAAUGUUUGAAUGGCUGCAGUAAUUUAACUGUACUAAGGUAGCAUAAUCAAUUGUCUUUUAAAUGGAGACUGGAAUGAAUGGGUUGACGGAGGAAUAACUGUCUUAAGUAUUUUUUUUGAAUUUGACUUUUAGGUAAAAAGGCCUAAAUGUAAUUGAGGGACGAAAAGACCCUAUCAAGUUUUAUAAAUGUGUUUUUAUUAUUCUUAUUUUUUAAAUAUUAUUUAUUUAACUGGGGCGGUUGAAAUAGUAUAUCUUUUUUUGGUUUUGGGAGAAUAAUUGUUUAAUUUAUUGUUGAUCCAGAAUUUUUGAUUAUAUGAUUAAAUUACUGUAGGGGUAACAGCGUAAUUCUUUUGUAAAGUUCAUAUUGAUAAAAGAGAUUGCGACCUCGAUGUUGGAUUAAAAUUUCUGUGGGGUGAAUAUGUUCCAUUAGAAAGUCUGUUCGACUUUUAAAUUUUUAUA
rnacentral:rRNA from 1 species